rnacentral:misc_RNA from 1 species
AUAAUGUGGAUAAUCCUAAAAUAUUCUGCAUUUACGACAAAAACCAGUACUAUCCAAAUUAUCUGAUCAAGUACAAAUAAAUCAGCGUAUAAAUACAAUGGAGCCACAGUUGUCCGGACGUUUUUGUUCCGAAGUCCAGUCGUCUGGAUAUUUGAAGCGUCCGGAUAUCUGAAAUGUGUCUAAUAUUGUCGGACGUUACAUGAAACUGAUAAUCCUUGCAAUUUAUAUUAGUAAGUUUUUAGUUUCUUAUCUUUUUAUAUUCAAUAGCCUAUGAUAAAUUUCUAUUGGAAAGUUACAUAGUGCCAUAGAUAAACAAAACAUGAGAGUUAUGAUUUUUGCUUUGACUGUAACCUCCGUUUAAUGAAAUAAACUGUUAACCAUGUG